rnacentral:rRNA from 1 species
GACGAACGCUGGCGGCGUGCCUAAUACAUGCAAGUCGAGCGAAGUUUUUCUGGUGCUUGCACUAGAAAAACUUAGCGGCGAACGGGUGAGUAACACGUAAAGAACCUGCCUCAUAGACUGGGACAACUAUUGGAAACGAUAGCUAAUACCGGAUAACAGUAUUUCUCGCAUGAGAGAUAUUUAAAAGUUGGUUAUGCUAACACUAUGAGAUGGCUUUGCGGUGCAUUAGCUAGUUGGUGGGGUAAAGGCCCACCAAGGCGACGAUGCAUAGCCGACCUGAGAGGGUGAUCGGCCACACUGGGACUGAGACACGGCCCAGACUCCUACGGGAGGCAGCAGUAGGGAAUCUUCCGCAAUGGGCGAAAGCCUGACGGAGCAACGCCGCGUGAGUGAAGAAGGAUUUCGGUUCGUAAAGCUCUGUUGUUAGGGAAGAAUAGAUAUGUAGUAACUAUACAUGUAAGAGACGGUACCUAACCAGAAAGCCACGGCUAACUACGUG